UACGAAGGGUGCAAGCGUUACUCGGAAUUACUGGGCGUAAAGCGUGCGUAGGUGGUUUGUUAAGUCUGUUGUGAAAGCCCCGGGCUCAACCUGGGAAUGGCAAUGGAUACUGGCAAGCUAGAGUGCGGUAGAGGGUAGUGGAAUUCCCGGUGUAGCGGUGAAAUGCGUAGAGAUCGGGAGGAACACCGGUGGCGAAAGCGGCGCGCUGGAUCCCUACUGACGCUGAGGCACGGAAAGCCAGGGGAGCAAACGGGG
rnacentral:rRNA from 1 species